rnacentral:rRNA from 1 species
GCUUAGAGUUUGAUCCUGGCUCAGAGCGAACGCUAGCGGCGGGCUUAACACAUGCAAGUCGAGCGCCCUUCGGGGAGCGGCGAACGGGUGAGUAACACGUAGGUCAUCUACCUCUCGGUGGGGAAUAGCCCGGGGAAACCCGGAUUAAUACCGCAUGAGGUCUUCGGAUCAAAGCCUUCGGGCGCCGGGAGAUGAGCCUGCGUCCCAUUACCUAGUAGGUAG